UUCACAUGUUGUAACUUAAUAUUUCAUAAGAGCCAAAUAAGAAAUUAACAAACAAAGCAGAUACAAAAAAUUACGAACAAAAAAAGAUGAAUCCCAAGAAGAGCCCGACCAUCUAAAGGAAGCUAAAGAUUAAAAUGUAACAGCCGCGUACAAGUUUUAAGAAAGCUAAAGAAAUCAAACAAUAGAAAGAGCUAGCCACAUAAGAAGUUAACAAACAAGAAAGAUGACACAUGGACGUUAUAAUUACACACAAAGAUUGAUUAAUUUCAUGAAUGACAAAUGCCUAAAACAAUGAAUGAUGGGGGGAAGGAGUUGGCCUUCUGUUUCUUGUAAUCGGAGUAUUUACUACUUAUUUCCCUUUUCUAUACCCUUCUUGAUCAUUUAUUACUCUCUCUCUCUCUCUCUCUCUCUCUCUCUCUCUCUCUCUCUCUCUCUCUCUCUCUCUCUCUCUCUCUCUCUCUCUCUCUCUCUCUCUCUCUCUCUCUCUCUCUCUCUCUCCCCCAACCCCCGAGUUCUUAUAAAUGGCCUUACAUCCGCUAAACUACCAAACCACCUCACUUCUGGUGCUGCUCUUCUUGAUCACCACCCUAAUCUCUCCCCACUUUCUCUCUUGUACUUGAGAAAAAAAGCUAUCGGCUUUAAGGGAAUUGACUUCCAUCUUCUUGAGGAUCAAGAGCGGUUGAAAGUUAGCCAGGAAAGAUGAGCAGAAGAACUGAUGGAGGAAACGAACUGAAGCUUGACUUGAAACUCAACUUAUCCCCACAGAGAACUCAAUGGCCGGUGACGGAAUCACCCAAUCGGUCGUCACCGAUCACUGUAUCUCCGACGAACUCAUGUGUGUCAUUGGAGCUUGCUCAAGAUGAGAUGGAGCUUCGGUACUCAAGCAGCCCGGAGACAACGUCCAUGAUGCUGGCCGGAUGUCCUCGCUGUCUGAUGUACGUUAUGCUUGCUCAGGAUUUCCCGAAGUGCCCUAAAUGCAAGAGCACAGUUCUGCUUGAUGUUGUUCUUGACAAACCGAUCAAAAAAUGAGAAAUUAGUUCAGUUAAAUUUAAUGUCAUUAGCUUGCUAGUUUUAUUAAUAUAUUUUGCCGCGGUUUCAAAAAAAAAAAAAAAAAUGUCAUUAACUUCUAGAAUUAGUGGGAAGUUUUGUUUUUUAUUUUAUUGUUAUAAUUCUAUUUCUUUUUUCUGUUUUUAUCGGAGAUGUUUAUUUUAUAGGUGAUGUUUACUUAUAUUCUAUUGUAUUUUUUUAUGUGAUGAAAUAUGAUGUUUAAUGAUGAUUCCCCUCUUAUCCUUCU